rnacentral:rRNA from 1 species
UACGGGGGGGGCAAGCGUUGUUCGGAAUUACUGGGCGUAAAGGGCUCGUAGGCGGCCAACUAAGUCAUACGUGAAAUCCCCCGGCUUAACCGGGGAACUGCGUCUGAUACUGGAUGGCUUGAGAUUGGGAGAGGGAUGCGGAAUUCCAGGUGUAGCGGUGAAAUGCGUAGAUAUCUGGAGGAACACCGGUGGCGAAGGCGACAUCCUGGACCAACACUGACGCUGAGGAGCGAAAGCCAGGGGAGCAAACGGG